rnacentral:rRNA from 1 species
AUUGAACGCUGGCGGCAUGCUUUACACAUGCAAGUCGAACGGUAACAGGUCUUCGGAUGCUGACGAGUGGCGAACGGGUGAGUAAUGCAUCGGAACGUGCCCAGUCGUGGGGGAUAACGCAGCGAAAGCUGUGCUAAUACCGCAUACGAUCUCUGGAUGAAAGCGGGGGACCUUCGGGCCUCGCGCGAUUGGAGCGGCCGAUGUCAGAUUAGCUAGUUGGUGGGGUAAAGGCCCACCAAGGCGACGAUCUGUAGCUGGUCUGAGAGGACGACCAGCCACACUGGGACUGAGACACGGCCCAGACUCCUACGGGAGGCAGCAGUGGGGAAUUUUGGACAAUGGGCGCAAGCCUGAUCCAGCAAUGCCGCGUGCAGGAAGAGGGCCCUUCGGGUUGUAAACUGCUUUGUACGG